CCUCUCUUCUCUCCUAUUCUCUUCCCUUCUCUCUGUCCAGCAAUCCAGUCCCUCAACGGCCACCGCUACUUCAAGGAAUUCCCCGCAGAUCUGGAUCGAGGCCACCACCGAGUCUCCCUCGAGCGCCUCCUUCUUCCUCCCCCUUCUCAUUUUUCGUCUCUUCAUCCUUUCCAUGCCUGUGAGUUCCUUUUUUUCCCUUGCCCAUGACGAGCAGGGAAGCCUCACCACUGCCGCCGCCACCACCACCACGGACGUCGUCACACCAUCGCCGCCUCCGAGUUCGCUGGCCGCCGGCGCCCGUCCUCCUAUAUGCAGCCGAGCCAAUUGAGGAGCUCAGAACUACCGCCGUCAUGCCCACGUCAAGUUGCUGCGCAUCUCCACCUCCCAGCCUUGCUGAGGCAUGCCAAGAGGCGCUGCCUCGUCUGGACUCCUCUGCUACCUCCCAUUCGUGCCUCUGCUUCAGUCGCCAGCGAGCCGCUGCCUCGUCCGGCCGGCCUCCUCUGGUCCCAGAUUUGGUUUAGGCCACAACGGUGGUUGUUGCUGUCGAUUGUGCUUGCCUGAUUCGGAGUUUCCUUCACUCCAUCUUCCCUCUUGCCAAAUUAAUUGCUUCAUUAUGUUCCCCUCAUACGCUGCUUGAUUUCUGAUGCGGCAAAGUCGCGUGCGUAUAUAAAUUGAUUGAAUGGGAUGCAGAGGAGCGAGGUGGGACUAAAUCUCAACACGGGAGAUUGAGAAGCUUACGGCGGAGGCCGAGGAGGACUCACGGCGGCGCGCAGGGUCACAGCGGCGCCGCGGGUGGAAAGCGAGCGUCUGGAUAAGAUGAAAUAAAGGAUCGCGGGUUGAAUUCUUA